AACUUUCAGCAAUGGAUCUCUUGGUUCCGGCAUCGAUGAAGAACGCAGCGAAAUGCGAUACGUAAUGUGAAUUGCAGAAUUCAGUGAAUCAUCGAGUCUUUGAACGCACAUUGCGCCCUCUGGUAUUCCGGAGGGCAUGCCUGUCCGAGCGUCAUUGCUGCCCUCAAGCACGGCUUGUGUGUUGGGCUCCGUCCCCCGAUCCCGGGGGGACGGGCCCGAAAGGCAGCGGCGGCACCGCGUCCGGUCCUCGAGCGUAUGGGGCUUUGUCACCCGCUCUGUAGGCCCGGCCGGCGCCUGCCGAUCAACCAAAUUUUUAUCCAGGUUGACCUCGGAUCAGGUAGGGAUACCCGCUGAACUUAAGCAUAUCAAUAAGCGGAGGCU
rnacentral:misc_RNA from 1 species